GCAGAGACCAGCCCUCGUACCUUUUGCAUCAUGAUUUAGCGAGUAGACGCAAGCGAAGAGCCCUCUAGUUUGCAUCCCCGAAACUUGACGAGCUACUCCGAGACAGUCAUUUUGGACCAACCCAUCUCUGUUGCAAAAGAGUGGGAAGAUCUCCGAGUAGAGGCGACACCCCUACCGAGCCAAGUUAUAGCUGGUUGCCCAAUAAAUGAAUAAAAGUUCAGCCCCGCCCAGCCCCCAUCAAAAAAGUCCCACUAAUAAAGACAAAGAGCUCUGCGCGGGAGUUAAUCAAAGGAGGAACAGCUCCUCUGAUAAAGAAAACAACCUUAAUAGGAGACUUAAGAACAUUCUUUAAUUAAGGCUUUGGGUGCUGGUGGGCCUGAAAGCAGCCAUCCAUCAAGAAAGCGUUAAAGCUCUUACCCCUAAAAAGCCUAUUAUACCGUUUCUCACUCUUAUGUCCCUUGUCCCACUGGGCCCCCCUAUGCCCCCAUAGAAGGGAUUAUGCUAGAACUAGUAACAAGAAGAACGAACUUCUCCAUGCACAAGUGUAUAGUCGAAUUGGACAAUCCAUCGAGAAUUAACGAACCCAACAAAAGAGGGCCCUAUAUCCUAGCCGAUCCGAGCCAAGAAAAUCAUGUUCAAUUUUAUCGUUACCCCCACACAGGAGUGCUCUAACAAGGAAAGACUAAAAGAAAGAAAAGGAACUCGGCAAACUCAAACCCCGCCUGUUUACCAAAAACAUCGCCUCUUGCCAAUAAAGUAUAAGAGG
rnacentral:rRNA from 1 species